CCUACGGGAGGCAGCAGUGGGGAAUAUUGGGCAAUGGGCGCAAGCCUGACCCAGCAACGCCGCGUGCAGGAAGAAGGCUUUCGGGUUGUAAACUUCUUUUCUCAGGGACGAAGACAGUGACGGUACCUGAGGAAUAAGCCAAGGCUAACUACGUGCCAGCAGCCGCGGUAAUACGUAGGUGGCAAGCGUUAUCCGGAUUUAUUGGGUGUAAAGGGCGUGUAGGCGGGAGCGCAAGUCAGAUGUGAAAACUCAGGGCUCAACCCUGGGCCUGCAUUUGAAACUGUGUUUCUUGAGUGCAGGUGAGGCAAUCGGAAUUCCGUGUGUAGCGGUGAAAUGCGUAGAGAUCAGGAAGAACACCAGUGGCGAAGGCAGAUUGCUGGACAAUAACUGACGCUGAGGCGCGAAAGCGUGGGGAGCAAACAGGAUUAGAUACCCCUGUAGUC
rnacentral:rRNA from 1 species